GAUGAACGCUGGCGGCGUGCCUAAUACAUGCAAGUCGAGCGAACAGACGAGGAGCUUGCUCCUCUGACGUUAGCGGCGGACGGGUGAGUAACACGUGGAUAACCUACCUAUAAGACUGGGAUAACUUCGGGAAACCGGAGCUAAUACCGGAUAAUAUAUUGAACCGCAUGGUUCAAUAGUGAAAGACGGUUUUGCUGUCACUUAUAGAUGGAUCCGCGCCGCAUUAGCUAGUUGGUAAGGUAACGGCUUACCAAGGCAACGAUGCGUAGCCGACCUGAGAGGGUGAUCGGCCACACUGGAACGGAGACACGGUCCAGACUCCUACGGGAGGCAGCAGUAGGGAAUCGUCCGCAAUGGGCGAAAGCCUGACGGAGCAACGCCGCGUGAGUGAUGAAGGUCUUCGGAUCGUAAAACUCUGUUAUUAGGGAAGAACAAAUGUGUAAGUAACUAUGCACGUCUUGACGGUACCUAAUCAGAAAGCCACGGCUAACUACGUG
rnacentral:rRNA from 1 species